GCCCGCGUUAACUUUAAAAACUGACGUCCCUACAUACGCCCAUAGGAGAAGAGCAGAGCAGAGCAGUGAGGAGGACGCUCGCAUGCCGUUCAGAUAGCAGAAGUUACAACUCGGAGUAUACAAAGUACAACAUGAUGUGGACUACUAGCAGAACCGUUCUUACAGGCCUCUUACUAUGUAUUCCUAUUAUAGAUGUGCAGUCAGAUGAUCAGGUGUUACAGGCUCCUGACCGCCACACCACAGAAGACCAAGAUAUUACUCUGAAUUGUAGUCAUAAAAUUAAAAAUUACCAAUUUCUGGCGUGGUACAAGCACAUCCCUGGACUCAGCCUAGAGAUCUAUGCUCAUGGGGUCACCAAAGCUAAUAACCUGUAUCCGAGAUACUCAAUGACUAUCGACAAAGACUCUCUCACUACACAGCUUCAUAUAAAGAAUGUGAAGGGGGAAGAUGCAGCCGUGUAUUACUGUGCAGUGAGGGACACAGUGACAGUGACAGACUGCAGAUCUGUACAAGAACCAAACAAGACAUUUUUCAGCUUAGCGUUACUGAGCGCGUUACGGCUCCACCUGAGCCUUUCUCAACAGAGCCAUAAUGCGCGCAGUAAUGCUAAGCUGAAAACUCGAAUAAAAGAGUAA